rnacentral:rRNA from 1 species
AUUGAACGCUGGCGGCAGGCCUAACACAUGCAAGUCGAACGGUAACAGGAAGAAGCUUGCUUCUUUGCUGACGAGUGGCGGACGGGUGAGUAAUGUCUGGGAAACUGCCUGAUGGAGGGGGAUAACUACUGGAAACGGUAGCUAAUACCGCAUAACGUCGCAAGACCAAAGAGGGGGACCUUCGGGCCUCUUGCCAUCGGAUGUGCCCAGAUGGGAUUAGCUAGUAGGUGGGGUAACGGCUCACCUAGGCGACGCUCCCUAGCUGGUCUGAGAGGAUGACCAGCCACACUGGAACUGAGACACGGUCCAGACUCCUACGGGAGGCAGCAGUGGGGAAUAUUGCACAAUGGGCGCAAGCCUGAUGCAGCCAUGCCGCGUGUAUGAAGAAGGCCUUCGGGUGUAAAGUACUUUCAGCGGGGAGGAAGGGAGUAAAGUUAAUACCUUUGCUCAUUGACGUUACCCGCAGAAGAAGCACCGGCUAACUCCGUGCCAGCCGCCGCAGUAA